rnacentral:rRNA from 1 species
ACUCCUACGGGAGGCAGCAGUGGGGAAUAUUGGACAAUGGGGGACCGGUAGCAUCAGCCAUGCCGCGCUGUGUGAAGAAGGCCUUAUGGUUGUAAAGCACUUUAAGCGAGGAGGAGGCUACUGAGACUAAUACUCUUGGAUAGUGGACGUUACUCGCAGAAGAAGCACCGGCCAACUACGUGCCAGCAGCCGCGGUAAUACGUAGGGUGCGAGCGUUGUCCGGAAUUACUGGGCGUAAAGAGCUCGUAGGUGGUUUGUCGCGUUGUCCGUGAAAUCCCACGGCUUAACUGUGGGCGUGCGGGCGAUACGGGCAGACUGGAGUACUGCAGGGGAGACUGGAAUUCCUGGUGUAGCGGUGGAAUGCGCAGAUAUCAGGAGGAACACCGGUGGCGAAGGCGGGUCUCUGGGCAGUAACUGACGCUGAGGAGCGAAAGCGUGGGGAGCGAACAGGAUUAGAUACCCUGGUAGGUCAGU